GCCGGGAUGGCGGAACGGCAGACGCAGCGGACUCAAAAUCCGCCGGUGGCAACACCGUGAGGGUUCGAGUCCCUCUCCCGGCACCA
rnacentral:tRNA from 1 species